rnacentral:lncRNA from 1 species
UUUUGGAAUAUGUUUAGAUUUGAGUUUAUAGCUCUUCUCUAGUCGGGAAAUGGUGCGUUGCACGCACAUUGUAAUCCUAGGUGAUGGUUUUGCUUUGCAUAUUAAAAUGGUUUGCCGACUUCCACCCACUUUGGGCUCUCGCCUCUCGCCUCUCGCCUCUCGCCUCUCGCCUCUCGCCUCGGUGUAUUUGACGAAUAGUUGCUUCUAUAUUGUGUGAUGAAUACAAAGAUAAUAAACUAAAAAGAAGGUAAAUAGUGCCUAAUAGGACGAAAUUUUACUCUGAGUUAUUAUGAUUAUUAUUAUUAUUAAAUGAGUAGGAUUUUUAGUCUGGUUGAGAAAUGGGAAUUGUGUGACGUCAGUUAGACUUUAUGGUGUUGGAAGGUCAAAACUGUUUUUCCGUGACCAGAAGCUGAACAAAAGUUGUUUCAACACCUGAUACAGUUAAUAGUUAAAAGUGGAGUCGAACAGUUGAACGAGGUACGGCCACGUGUUAUUGGCCAUCCUCCUCUACCCGUCCGACUUCUAUAUCCCAGUCAUCUAAUCCCAACUUACGGCCUAAAUAUUCAGUGGGUGAGCCUGAUUUUUGGGUACAUGCUAUGGGCCCAAUCCUUUGUGCCUGGGCUGGCAUAUGACCAUAAAAUAUUGAUUAAACUAAAUACUAAAUGGC